rnacentral:rRNA from 1 species
GACGAACGCUGGCGGCGUGCCUAACACAUGCAAGUCGAGCGAAUGAAGUUCCUUCGGGAAUGGAUUUAGCGGCGGACGGGUGAGUAACACGUGGGCAACCUGCCUCAUAGAGGGGAAUAGCCUUCCGAAAGGGAGAUUAAUACCGCAUAAGAUUGUAGUAUCGCAUGAUACAGCAAUUAAAGGAGCAAUCCGCUAUGAGAUGGGCCCGCGGCGCAUUAGCUAGUUGGUGAGGUAAUGGCUCACCAAGGCGACGAUGCGUAGCCGACCUGAGAGGGUGAUCGGCCACAUUGGGACUGAGACACGGCCCAGACUCCUACGGGAGGCAGCAGUGGGGAAUAUUGCACAAUGGGGGAAACCCUGAUGCAGCAACGCCGCGUGAGUGAUGACGGCCUUCGGUUGUAAGCUCUGUCUUCAGGGACGAGUAAUGACGGUACCUGAGGAGGAAGCCACGGCUAACUACGUGCCAGCAGCCGCGGUAA